UAGACACAUUAUUGCAUCAGUUGCGAAUAUCGUGUGCAAAAAUGGAGUUAAAAAACUUUUUUUGAAUUUUUGCAAAGUGCCAUAUUUUCGAGUGAAUCAAUUGGAAAUGUUGAUGACGAAAGUUGUUAUGGGAAGAAUAAGUCAGAAUUGGCCCAAAACAGACCGAGAGAGAGAAAAAACACUGUGUGAUAGCAGCGUACCAAACAGUGGGUUUUAAAAGAGCAUCCCAUUUCGGAUUGAAGAAAAAUAAUAUUCCAUUAAUUGCUCCCUCCAAUGUAACUGCCCUACUAAUAAAAUAAGCAUCACCAUAUAAGGAAAAAUUGCCAGAAAAUAUGCAGCUUUUCCAGAACUUUUAACUCCUCGACACAUAAUUGCAAACAAGCAAAACCAGCUGAAACAAAGAUAAAGAGCCAACGACCAUGAUGCCUUUUUCCAGGGGUAAAAAACAAACCGAAAGUAUAAUUCUGCAGAGCUGAUGACAGUUACAUUUUCAGAAUAAAUUCCAUUUGAUAUAUUUGAAGAAGCAUCGAUGCAAUAAUUUCUCCAAUUUUCUCGACAAUAGGACCAAGGAAGAACAGAUUCAAAGCUUGCGAUAAAAUAAUAAAGUGUGAGGGCCAUUAGGCAGCAAUAAUAUGACACGACACAAAAUGCAGCCAAGACUUGUCCGUAACCCAAACCUAAUAUUUAAUA